CAGUCUUAGUUUCGGAUUGUAGGCUGCAACUCGCCUACAUGAAGUCGGAAUUGCUAGUAAUCGCGGAUCAGCAUGCCGCGGUGAAUACGUUCCCGGGCCUUGUACACACCGCCCGUCACACCAUGGGAGUCGGUAACACCCGAAGCCUGUAGUCUAACCGCAAGGGGGGACGCAGUCGAAGGGUGGGAUUGAUGACUGGGGGUGAAGUCGUAACAAGGUACC
rnacentral:rRNA from 1 species